AUGCAGAAAAUCUGCCAGUGGAAAGGAUUAAGUUGGGAGAUUGCUCUCCCUGCUGCUGCUGCUGCUGCUGCUGCUGCUUCUCCUCCUCCUCUCGCUCGCCUGGACCGCCGCGCCUCAGUCUCCCGCGCUGCCUUGCCCGGGUGUUGCCUCUUGGCGCAUUGUGUGCGGCUGCCUUCCCGGCGAAGUCUUGCCCGCGCGCCUGGGCGCUUCUGCCUCUCCCUCUCCCGCCGCUCCUUUUCUUCUUCUCCUCCUGCCCGCUGCCCGCCUCCCCGAAGGAAGGGGAGGAGGAGGAGGAAGGAAGGAAGGAAAAGGGAGCAGCUAAUCUGAGCGCAAGGACGCCAUUAAGCUCCGGCGGCUUUGCAGCCGCGGCGGCUGGGCUUUGAAGCGCGCCGCUCAAGUCGGGGCGCGGCGCGCGCGCGGGGAGGACGCGCCCCCUGCCGGACUCCCCAGUUCGCGCCUCGCUCAGACGGGGCGGAGGCUUUGAAUGGUGGGGGUCUCCUUUCUCCGGCUUGGGAAGGAGAAGCGCCUCCGGAGAAGAGGGCUGGCUAGGGGGUAGCUGCCCCUCACAGCGCCCGGUCGUCGAGAUGCGCCUCCGGAUGGCGCUCCAGGAGCUGGAGGGCGGUUUCUUCACCCGUUGCGAAAAAGCGCCUCUGGGUGGGUUGUGCGGCUGUGCGAAUGCCUGCCAUCGACCCAUUACAGAAAGCGAGGAGAGAUUGUGUCCUCCCUGGCCAAUAUAGGUAGGAUGAGUGUGAGUAGAAACUAGCCUGCUGUGGGGUUGGACUACAACUCCUGUCAUCUCUGACUGCUGGUCUCUGCAGGCCAGGGAUGGUUGUGGUUUGUAGUACAACAACAUCUGGGAAUCCGAGAUGGAGAAAGGUAAUAGGCAUUCAUUGCUUCACCUGGGCAGUGUGUAUGGAGUGCCUGGGCUGCCCAGAUGACAAGCCUCGCUGAUGUGGUCCGAAGGAAAGCAGAGCAAUGCGUUUGGCACCAAUUUGGCUGCAGGAGUUGCCGGAAGGUGCCAUCCAACUGCCUUAGGGAUUUGUGUAGCCUUUUCUUCUCCUGAAGAUAUCCCACAAGGCAGUUCCGGUUUACGGUCAUUUCUCCUAGAUGGGCUACCUUCCCGAGUUGAUGACCCAUGUCUGCUCCUCGCUUCCUUCUACAGCAGGCAUCCCCAACCUUUGGCCCUCUGGAUGUUUUGUACUACAAUUCCCAUCAACCUGAUCUGUUAGCUAGGGAUCAUGGGAGUUGUAGACCAAAACAUCUGGAGGGCCGCAGGUUGGGGAUGCCAGCUCUACAGCAUGUGCAGAAACUGCCUUCUCGGCUGUUGGACCCGCUAUUGGUCUGUCUGCUCCAUCCUCCAGAACCUGCCUUCACUUAUUAAGGUUUUGAUACCUAUCAGCUGCCCUCGCUUGGUUUAGCCAGCCAAUUGAAGCCAUUCCCCUGGUAUGGCUGCUGUCACAUUCUGACAGCUUAUAGGAGCCACAGGUGACAGCUGAAUGCGGGGGGGGGGGGGAGUGGACAAACUACUCCAGGAGGACCACAACAUGUCUCCCCCACCAGAGGUACUACCUCUCCCCUCACACUCCCAUCAACCACAAUCAAGUGGGCAGCAUUUUUGAACUGUCUGGUGAUGACCUGAAUGGCUAAUCUGUUUAUAACAAAAAAACUUUUUUACUAAUUAUGAGCAAGAUCAACACACUAAUUAGAUCAUUCUCUGGGGCAUCAGGAAGAAUCUCUGUGCAGAAUUGCCCAGGAAAACUACAUUGCUGGCUAACUGAGCUAGGAGAUUCGGUUCUACAGGCUGUAAUACAUUCAGUUGCUAAGUAGCUGAUAUUCUGGAUGGACAGCAGACAGCGGUUGUAAUGGUAGAGUAGCAGUGCUAGUAAGGCUGGAACAGACGCCAUCACGCUUCUUGCAACAUGUGUGCUGGUGGCUUUGAGGUUUUAAGGCUUGAUGCAAUCCAUAAUGAAAUAUAUGUGGUUUGGGUGUAGACUUGCAAACUUUAUUUAGGCAAGAUUCCAUCUGAAGAGAGGGCAGAUUUGGCUAAACUGCUGUGGAAUCAAGCCCCAUAAUUUCUUCUUACAUAUUUUGAAGGCGGGGAGGGGGAAAACUAAUGUCAAAGGCCUACAUAAAAGAAAUAAUAAGGAUGGGAGAAUUUCUGGACACACUUUGUUGUAUAUGAUUAUGGUUAUGGCAAUAAAAAUAGUGAUUCAGAGAAUUACCAUUCAAGAAGUUCUUUUUUUACAUAUUUAUUUUGUCCCGGCAGCAAACGAUACAUCUUUAUAUAGAGCCUGUGGCUUUGGUCUAAAUUGGUGUCUUGCCGAUGUAACGCGGGUCAUCAUAACCAGUUUAAGAUUCAUCUUUCAAAAUAUUACUAGGCUGUGUGGUUAAAGGGACAAAAUAAAAUCCCUCUCAAAUGGAAGGGAUUGUAGCAUAAUGGUGCAUUACAGUACCUGCCCAGGUUCAUUGUCAUUCGGAAUAUUUAUUAAAUUUUAAAUUGCUGUUAUUUUUUACCUAUGUCAUUUUAAUCUGUGAUAUUAAUGCUGUAUUCUUAGUUUUAGAUUUUGAUUUAUGUGGAAAUUGUUUUCCAUUUGGUUGUGCAUUUUUUGAUGUGGUUUAUUUAUUGUUUAUGACUUUUGUAAUUAUGUAAAUCUUGUCAUGUUGUAAGCCGCCUUGAGUAUUGUUUUUAACUGUGGAAAAGUGGCAUACAAAUAAAAAAUGAUGAUUUUU
rnacentral:lncRNA from 1 species